GAGGAAUAUUGCACAAUGGAGGAAACUCUGAUGUAGCAACGCCGCGUGGAGGAUGACGCAUUUCGGUGUGUAAACUCCUUUUAAGAGGGAAGAUAAUGACGGUACCUCUUGAAUAAGCACCGGCUAACUCCGUGCCAGCAGCCGCGGUAAUACGGAGGGUGCAAGCGUUACUCGGAAUCACUGGGCGUAAAGGGUGCGUAGGCUGACUUUUAAGUCAGGCGUGAAAUCCAAUGGCUUAACCAUUGAACUGCGCUUGAAACUGGGAGUCUAGAGUUCAGAAGGGGCAGAUGGAAUUAGUGGUGUAGGGGUAAAAUCCGUAGAUAUCACUAGGAAUAUCAAAAGCGAAGGCGAUCUGCUGGGAUGAUACUGACGCUGAGGCACGAAAGCGUGGGGAGCAAACA
rnacentral:rRNA from 1 species